rnacentral:rRNA from 1 species
ACUCCUACGGGAGGCAGCAGUAGGGAAUCUUCCACAAUGGACGAAAGUCUGAUGGAGCAACGCCGCGUGAACGAUGAAGGCCUCGGUCGUAAGUUCUGUUGUAAGGGAAGAACAAGUGCCGCAGGCAAUGGCGGCACCUUGACGGUACCUUGCGAGAAAGCCACGGCUAACUACGUGCCAGCAGCCGCGGUAAUACGUAGGUGGCAAGCGUUGUCCGGAAUUAUUGGGCGUAAAGCGCGCGCAGGCGGCCUCUUAAGUCUGAUGUGAAAGCCCCGGCUCAACCGGGGGAGGGCCAUUGGAAACUGGGAGGCUUGAGUAUAGGAGAGAAGAGUGGAAUUCCACGUGUAGCGGUGAAAUGCGUAGAGAUGUGGAGGAACACCAGUGGCGAAGGCGACUCUUUGGCCUAUAACUGACGCUGAGGCGCGAAAGCGUGGGGAGCAAACAGGAUUAGAUACCCUGGUAGGAUAGCG